CUGAAGGAGAGCGAGGGGGAGGAGGAAGGGAAGGAGGCGGUGGCGGUGGCGUGCUGCUGCCGCUGCCGCCGCUGAUCCCGAGCUCCAGUCUAGCCAGGACGGACUGCGGGAAUAGGAAGCGCAUCCCCUCAAUCCGCGCAAACACACUCACACACGCACACACGCAUGUACACAAGCGACCAGGAUUCCUUGCCUACAUAUGCCAGGCACCUGGCUGGGAGCCCGGGGACGGAAAGACAAAGCGAAACGGCCCCUGCCUUCAAGGAGGUUCCGUUCUAUUGGGGGGACUACUGGUGCCUAGAAAAAAGAUGCAAAAUAUACGCAGAAUACUGAAUUGGGCCAUGACGUUAUCAGAACUGUGCUUUAGACAAAUUUCUUUGGCAACUGUAUGGAGGCUACACUGUAAGGGAUGGCCUGGAGGAGUGAGACCCGAGGUCGGCGGACCGGCUAGGAAGCAGAGAAUCCCAGGACCUUUCAUUCUAGAACCAGAAGUCUUCCCACUCUGCCAUGCUGUCAUCUCCCAGUGAGAAGACCAUGCCUGACCCCACAUUUGGCACUUGGCUUUCCACGUCUGUAUCCCUUCUGCCAGGAAAUGAGAAGCAAGCAGAUUUAAGAAAAACCUUAGAAAGACUUACAUGAACUGAUGCAAAGUAAAGUGAGCAGAACCAGAACAUUGUUCACAGUAACAGCAAUGUUG